UUCCGUAGGGGGGACCUGCGGAAGGAUCAUUACCGAGUGAGGGCCCUCUGGGUCCAACCUCCCACCCGUGUUUAUUUUACCUUGUUGCUUCGGCGGGCCCGCCUUAACUGGCCGCCGGGGGGCUUACGCCCCCGGGCCCGCGCCCGCCGAAGACACCCUCGAACUCUGUCUGAAGAUUGUAGUCUGAGUGAAAAUAUAAAUUAUUUAAAACUUUCAACAACGGAUCUCUUGGUUCCGGCAUCGAUGAAGAACGCAGCGAAAUGCGAUACGUAAUGUGAAUUGCAAAUUCAGUGAAUCAUCGAGUCUUUGAACGCACAUUGCGCCCCCUGGUAUUCCGGGGGGCAUGCCUGUCCGAGCGUCAUUGCUGCCCUCAAGCACGGCUUGUGUGUUGGGCCCCGUCCUCCGAUCCCGGGGGACGGGCCCGAAAGGCAGCGGCGGCACCGCGUCCGGUCCUCGAGCGUAUGGGGCUUUGUCACCCGCUCUGUAGGCCCGGCCGGCGCUUGCCGAUCAACCCAAAUUUUUAUCCAGGUUGACCUCGGAUCAGGUAGGGAUACCCGCUGAACUUAAGCAUAUCAAUAAACGAAAA
rnacentral:rRNA from 1 species